GGGUUGUGAGGUUAAGCGACUAAGCGUACACGGUGGAUGCCCUGGCAGUCAGAGGCGAUGAAGGACGUGCUAAUCUGCGAAAAGCGCCGGCGAGGUGAUAUGAACCUUUGACCCGGCGAUGUCCGAAUGGGGAAACCCAGUGCAAUUCGUUGCACUAUCGUUAACUGAAUACAUAGGUUAACGAGGCGAACCGGGGGAACUGAAACAUCUAAGUACCCCGAGGAAAAGAAAUCAACCGAGAUUCCCCCAGUAGCGGCGAGCGAACGGGGAGCAGCCCGGAGUCUGAAUCAGCUUGUGUGUUAGUGGAACGGUCUGGAAAGUCCGACGGUACAGGGUGCUAGUCCCGUCCCCGAAAGCACACAUGCUGUGAACUCGAAGAGUAGGGCGGGACACGUGGUAUCCUGUCUGAAUAUGGGGGGACGAUCCUCCAAUGCUAAAUGUUCCUGACUGACCGAUAGUGAACCAGUACCGUGAGGGAAAGGCGAAAAGAACCCCGGCGAGGGGAGUGAAAAAGAACCUGAAACCGUGUACGUACAAGCAGUGGGAGCCUCUUUAUGGGGUGACUGCGUACCUUUUGUAUAAUGGGUCAGCGACUUAUAUUCUGUAGCCAGGUUAACCGUAUAGGGGAGCCGAAGGGAAACCGAGUCUUAACUGGGCGUUAAGUUGCAGGGUAUAGACCCGAAACCCGGUGAUCUAGCCAUGGGCAGGUUGAAGGUUGGGUAACACUAACUGGAGGACCGAAC
rnacentral:rRNA from 1 species